UGUCUGGAAUGCCAAAGAGAUUUGGCAGUGCUCGCAAGAGAACCGGAACACAGGUGCUGCAUGGCUGUCGUCAGCUCGUGUCGUGAGAUGUUGGGUUAAGUCCCGCAACGAGCGCAACCCUUGUCAUUAGUUGCUACGAAAGGGCACUCUAAUGAGACUGCCGGUGACAAACCGGAGGAAGUGGGGAUGACGUCAAGUCCUCAUGGCCCUUAUGGGUAGGGCUUCACACGUCAUACAAUGGUCGGGACAGAGGGUCGCCAACCCGCGAGGGGGAGCCAAUCCCAGAAACCCGAUCGUAGUCCGGAUUGCAGGCUGCAACUCGCCUGCAUGAAGUCGGAAUCGCUAGUAAUCGCGGAUCAGCAUGUCGCGGUGAAUACGUUCCCGGGUCUUGUACACACCGCCCGUCACACCAUGGGAGUGGGUUUUACCAGAAGUAGUUAGCCUAACCGCAAGGAGGGCGAUUACCACGGUAGGAUUCAUGACUGGGGUGAAGUCGUAACAAGGUAAGCGUAGUGCU
rnacentral:rRNA from 1 species